CAUGUUGGCUGGAACAGCUGCUCCUACCGAGAGACGGAGCGCCGCGAGGGACAAAAUACCUCUGUCCUCCUCAGAAGCGCGAAGCAGUAGCCGCUGCAGGUUGAAGGCAGCCAAAGACAAAGGAAGCACAAAAGGGUUUCCAACAGGUCGGGAACAACAAUAUUUGUGCCUGUCCCAGCCAUUUGCAACAUGAACAUCAAGGGAUGAAGCUUUUUUGAUGACUUAUUAAUAGCUGUGGAGUGCUGAAGAUCAAACUGUUAUUCAGCUGUGUUCAGCCUGAGAUUCAACCAUCCCACCCUGCAUAGAGAAGAGGGGCUAAUCCCCAGGAUCUGGAAACCCUAGUUGAAGUCCAACAUAUUUGGAAAGUUGAUUUAACCCAUAUCCUGAAGACAUUAUGUUUAGCAUGCCCAUGGCUCUUACAGGGAUUCUCCGGCAGAAAAAUAAUUUCAUUGUCAUGAAAUCAGUACAAAAAACUGUCACGCUCCCCCGCCUGCCCGCCGGCCGCUUUCUCUCAAGUGCUGUCAACAGGUCUUGAACACAGCUGUUGAGCAAAAGAUCUUUCUCAGAUCCGCUACCUGAGAGGCUGAGGGUCUGGGUGAGCAGUUGCACUUCCUAUUUUUGCUAAAGAUGAAGGCCGGUGUGUCAAAUGUUUAGACCAGGAGGACUGUCUGAGAGCCUUGCUCAAUCCAAACAUAGAUUUUCUUUCCAAGGUAAAGAAAUUUAGAACUACAACUUUGCAGUAAAAGCUCCCUGUGGGUAGGCUGUUGUAUCCCCAUACAUUUCGUUGUUACAAUUUAUGUAUUUGUCUGUAUCUCUUAUAAGAUGCUCAUUUAACUUACGGUUUGAUGACAAAAUUGAAAUCCUGAAUCGCAAAAUGAUGCAUGUCUAAAUCUGUGUCACCAACAUGAAAUGAUCUAGUGGUUAAACAUUCUGUUCACAUACUGGGUCAGUCAUGGCCUAGGGUAAACCCCUUAAAGGACAUCAAAACUGAUCAUGCCCAACUCUCUCAGUUUGAAAACUAGUAGCUUAGUUGAAGCACAGGAAAAGAAUAAUCCUGAUGGCUGGACCAUUGUUGGUUAGUAUGCAUGACUAUUUUCCUGUAAACAUAAUAGUUUAAUUAGAUUGCCUUCCCACUAAGUGUUGGAUUAGACGCCUGUCUGUAUCCCUGAACAUAAUGGGGACACAAAUGGAGGUCAUGCAUGAGCCUUGGAACUGAACAAGGGUUUAACAACAAACUCACCAUGCCAGAAGAAAUGAGGACAACUGGAUUUUCUUAUUCUGUUCCAAGGCUCACACAGAAACCUCAGUUCCAUAUUAAUAAAAUAUUAGAAAUAAGUUGGUCCCUUAGUCACAGCAUGACCUCCAAUUGUGUUCCCAGUAAGUUAAUUCGAAAACAGGCAUACAUACUACCCAACAGUGGUCCAGCCAUCAACAUUAUUCCUCUUUCUAUGCUUUAUCUAGGCUACUAGUCAGGCUGGUUAUGCAUUACUUCCACUAUGCCUUGGCACAUCAGUUGAUAGGCAGCAUGGGCAUGCAGUUGCUUUUGGUGGAUUUCCUUUACUGAGUGGUUCAUGGGACUCAGUGGGUUAUGGAGCCCUUUCCAUGGUUGCACGAGUCUAUGCUUAAGUUAUGAGAUCAGCUAUCUCUACCCAUGUGCUCUUUGGUUUGUGUUGGCAGUCCAUCAUGAAAGAACGGUGGUAUUUUUGAUUAUCAUCUGAAGUGGUCUGUCUUGAAUAGCCUAGCUUAAUAAUCUGCUUACACUUCUUGUUAAUUGGUCAAUUUAGUGAGCUUGCUCUAAGUAGUGAAAAAUGUUUUUCGUCUACUAUUAGAUGGAAAUAACCACAGCAAAGAAGCAUUGUGACCACUUUGAGAUGAAAGGGGAUCCCAGGGUUUCUCUCCAUCUUCACUGUUAGCAGAAAAUGAGCAGUAUUGGCCUUAAGAAGAACCAGGGAACUUAUUGGGCAAUCUUAAGUUGUGCUGCUGAAAAUAACUAUAAUAUGGAAUCACUAUUCAGUCAUUAAAUUGUAUGCCACACCAUUGAAUCUCAUCAUUUGGUUUGCUGGUACAAUAAAACGGGAAUUACCAAACUGGGGUUGCCAUACAUGCCUCAAGGUCAUAGCUAGCUCAGCCCCCUGUGUGUGUGUGUGUGUGUGGGGGGGGGGGGGUUAAGGGAUUACCUCUACUACUUUUUUCACCUCACAGAUCUCAGGUGCACUGAUGCUAACUUUUUAAAAAAAUUGGGGGGGGGGGAGCAGUUUGAGGCCAGGUUCCUUAUUCAGUGUAAUCAUAUUCCUGGUCUCAAACUUUCUAGCCUUGUAAAUCUAAUCACUCCACAGUGAAAUUUUUGAACCAGUUCCAAGCUGGAUUAUAGUGUAGAUGCGCCUUGAGAUGUGCUGAUGUGCACAUCCAUGUUGUUCAGAAUCAGCGUUGGACCUUGGCAGGGCACAGGAAAUGAGAAGAAAGGGGUGGGAAGUGAGAGUUCCCAUGGGAAUGAUGUAGUAUUUCUGAGGGGUGGUGGUGGUAAUUAGCCAUCUACAUGUCCUUGCUCAAAAAGGUCUACUUUCUAGCCAGCUGUAUUUCAGUGUUGUUGUUUUUUAAGAGCUUCAGUGCUAGUGUGGUCUUGAUAAGCAUUUUACAUUUUCCAGUCCCUUGAGCCUUGCAUGGGAUAUACUAUGAUCAGAUAGAAUGCAUUGUCUGGCUUAUUCUGGACUUUCUGGAGAGUUUUGUUUUGUUUUUUUACAUUAUAUGGUCAGUUUAGAUACACCCCUGGACUCCCAAAUCUCACUUUGGAUUUGAGUCUGGGUUGAAUUAUGUUGUUUCUGGUUAUAUAUUCUAACUAUGGCCCAGAUUAGAAUUACUGAAUCACUCUGAAUUGAAGUAGGGGCUCACACACAGCUCUAAGAGAUCUUAUUUGCCAACUGCUCUUGAAAUCAACCCAAUUUACACUGUGCUCUUUGUCAGUAUAAUUUUCACUUGUUCAAACACUUGUCUUUCAGCCCAUUCAGACAAAUGAGGUUUAAUCCAAUACAGUGGAUUACUAACAGAAUUUCUUUAAUAUAUAAAUAGCACAUCACAAAGCCAUUAAUAAAAGAAAAUGUGUGUAUUAAUUUACUGUUGUGGAAGUUUAAAAUAUCAUGUGUAAUUAAUUACUAAUGAAUUGAAACACUUCUCUUCAUGGAUCAAUUUGAAUUUCCCUGUGAAUAUAUUGAAAUAAUAUUAUUGGUUAAAACUCUUGAAUUUUUUAAAAAGUUGGCAAAUUAUGUUAAUUACAUUCAGUUAUUACCAAUUACUAAAACCCAGUCUUUAAUAAUAAUAUGAAAAUUAAUUUUACAUUCUUCCAAGAUUAAAACUUCAAGACAAAUUACCAAGUCCUGUUGCAAAACAGGACAGAAUAGAAUGGGGGUAUCCCAUGCUAUUCAAAAAGCUUAGCAUACUAAUAGCUCAGCUGCAGGAUUCUGUCACAGGGAAGAAAGGCUUCUUACCCCAACAGGAAGCACUGGCAAAGCUACAGUGACAUUAAUUCCCUGUCAAAUGAAGCCUCUCUUAUUUCUGAGAGGUCCCAUACAUGAAAACACUUGCCUGGGCAUGCAGAAAUAUUUUUGUAAUAUUCAUCAUAACUUCAGGAACUCUUAAAUUUGGAAUCGCUUUUUGGUUUUUUCCAAUCCUGUAUAUCAGGGGUCCCCAAACUUUUUAAGCCGAGGGCCGAUCCACAAUCCUUCAGACUGUUGAGAGGCCGGAUUAUCAUUUGAAAAAAAUACAAACAAAUUCCGAUGCACACUGCAUAUGUCUUAUUUGUAGUGCAAAAACAACAACAACAAGAACAAUGAAAGAACAAUACAAUAUUUAAAAAUAAAAACAAUUUUAACCAACAUACAUUUAUCAGGAUUUCAAUGGGAAGUGUGGUCCUGCUUCUGGCCAAUGAGAUAGUCAAGUUAAUUAGGGUUGUUGUUGUUGUUGUUGUUGUUGUUGUUGUUGUUGUUGUUGUGUGCCUUCAAGUCAUUUCAGACUUUGGGUGAGCCCAAGUCUAAAAUGCAUUUAUUUAUUUACUGCAUUUAUUUACUACAUUUGUAUCACACCCUUCUCACCCCAAAGGGGACUCAGAGUGGCUUACAAAUUAUAUGUACAUACAAUAUAUUAUAUUAUUAGCAUAGCACAAUAUUAGCAUUAUAUAUUACUACUAGCUGUGUCCGGCCACACAUUGCUGUGGCGAAGUGGUGGUGGUAUUGGUUAAAAUUGUUUUGUAAUUUUUAUUUGAUGUUAUUUGCAUUUUUUAUUAAUUUUAUUGUAAGUUAUAUUUUUAUUUAUUAUAUUUUAUUAUUUUCUUGUAUUAUUUUUAGUUAUUUUCCAUUAUUAUAGUAUUUUAUUGUAUCAAUUUUUUUUAGUGUUUUUUAUUAUUUUUUAUUGGGUUGCUAGGAGACCAAGUUGGAGGAGCUUAGCCUCCUAACUGGCAGCAAUUGGAUAAAAGCAAUUAUUCCUCUCUCUAAUUAGGACUUUAUUUUUCUUUUCGUUUUGUUGUAUCAACCUAGAGGCGUGGAUGAUGGGUUGUGUUGUCAAAUUUCGAGGUUGGGGGGCCUGUAGUUUUGUUGUUUUGUGGGUCGCCGUGAUGCCAUCACUCUUUUAUAUAUAUAGAAGAUAUUGAACUAUACCACUAUACUGUAAUAUUAUUAGUAAUAUUAUAUGUAAUAUAGAAUAUAUAAUAUUAUUAUAUGGUAUUAUUAUUAGUGUUAUAUUGUAUUACAUUAUAAUAUUAUUAUCAAUAUUAUAUGUAUAUACAAUAUAUUAUAUUAUAAAACUGAGGGCGGGGGCCAGGUAAAUGACCUCGGAGGGCCGCAUCCGGCCCCCGGGCCUUAGUUUGGGGAGCCCUGCUGUAUAUGAUUAAAAUAAUACAAAUCAUCACAGUCAUUGCAUUUAUAAUACAGUAAUGUUUUGAUCACAAAAUGUUAACAUCCAGCAAAAAUCAAAGUACACAUCUUUCUCAAUCUGCACAUUUAUAAUCAGUUUUAUGUAUGACACACAUCUAUGCACCCAAUGCAAAAUGUGGCAAGAUCCAUUUGCUCUUGCGGUUGUGGUUGUUGUUGAAAAGAGUUUAAAUUUAGGGUGAAGAAGAUUCAGUAUUUGCUUUUCCUUUUUCUCUUACAGAGCUGUUAUUCUAAAUCUAGUGGGUGGAGGUGUCUUUAGGACAGGGAUUCUGGAUCCUUUGCUAAUUUUGUUUGUGAACAUAUUAUUUGCAGGCUUUCUCCAUUGUGCACUUUAUGCUGCCAAUUAUCUCCCCCUUGAGUUAACGGUUCAAAAGAAAGGAAAUAACCAUUUAAGGGAGAUAAUCUCUUCUGUAACAAAAGGAGGAGAAUCAGGUUUAAAUGAGGCAGAGUUCAUCAAAGAGGGUUGUAAUCCCUAUUGUGUCUAAGAAUUCCUCCCAUCAAUUCACAAAAUGUACUUUUAUAAACCCUCUUUCAAACAAUCAUAUUUCAUCCUUAUUUUUAAUGCAUUCAUCAUGUCUGUGUAACAGAUUUUAGUUAAGCAUUCAAAUUAUAUCUGAUAUUUGACUUAUUAAUACUUUUAUCCUAAAAUAUCAUUUUUUCCUUACCUUAUUUCCUGAGACAAAUGAUUUUACUGUACUACAUAUAGUAUUGAGCAUGGUGUAAAGGCUGAUUUUCUUUUACUAUACACACACACACACACAACUUCAUAAGACAAUAAUACGUCACUAAACAAGAAGAAACUGCAGACCAACAAAAAAAAAACCUCUGCAAGAUUUUAGUAUUUUUGUUCUGUAUUAUUUUCCUUAUGUCUUUGGAUAAAAACUAUCAGUGUGAUAUUUGUGGUUAAACUUCCAUCAGACUAAAUAGGUUAAUUAUAAAACAUCAAUUAUCGUGGAUGAAUUUUCUCUUAAUAUAUUGUAGUAGUUUUACUAUAGCUCAUUAAUCUAAAACUAAGUUUUCUUACUCUUUGUUAAUAUUUAAGUUAAGAAAGAAGCAGAAUUAUUUAAUAUAGAACUAUCCAGCUGUAAUAUAUAAGGAUACAACUUCCAAGUGCUCAAAUCUGCUCUAAAACAGUGCCUCUUAAUCUUUCUGAUGUGGAGGACCAGCACAAUUUGAUUCCCCAGUAUGUCAAGGACCAUAUUUAUGCCCAUCGGCUAGAACUGUUUCUUUUCUGGAAUCUCACUGUGGACCUGCAACCACACCUUGGAGACUGGCAUUGGCCACAGAUCCCCACUUCAAGUAUUACUUCGAGGAUUCUUCUGAUUUCUGGGGCAAAUUGAGCCAUGGAAGUAAAGCUUUAGUGAAUUCCCUCUCAAUUGUUGUGUGAGGGUCCUUCCAGACAACGUCAAAAUGCGGGACAAAGAAGUGGGGCAAAACAUCACAGUACCUUAAGGGGAGUCCAGACACGGAGCUGUCAGUCCCAGUAAAUGCUUCCCUGAUGUCCUGACAGGUUUUGUUGUGGCAGAUUUUAGAAAUGCGUGUGAUGGAAGUUCUUAAUGAAAAAGAUUCCAUGUACAUGCAAAGUAAGCAUAGGAGUUUAUUGAGUCAGAAGUCUUGUCUACUUUUAACUUAUUUGGUUUUAAGAGAUAAUUUAAGUGACUCACAUGAUUAAUUUCCAUGUUAUCCAGCUAAGGACCUCAUCACACUUACCAAAAUAAGCAUCCUAGGAUGCUUCAAGCCUUCUCUGAGGACGGAGCCCCAUGCCAGCCAUCACACAAUGUCAUGUGACUUCUAGUGAAGACCCCACCCAAUUGUGGUGGAGCCUCCUUGGAUGCUUUCCCCAAAACACAAGAGCCUUCCCGUGUUGUGCUGGCUCCAAUGGAGCUUAGCCUGCUUCUGCCCUACUUGAGCGACGCUCCCCCUGUGUGUUGGGGGAAGUGCUGCUGUGCCAGAGUAGGAUGCAAGGUGACAGAGUCACUCCUCACCUCUCCCAUUUCACCACACUUGCUGGCAAAACAGCACAGUGGGGAGGUGAUAAGGUCAUAGGGAUGUGAAGUCAGAGUUGGGAGUCAUGGAGUUGGAGUCUGAAACAAUUGUGGGUGGAGAUGAAAUCAGAGUAUAAAUGUACCAACUCCAGCUUCAAAAGCAGAAAUGUAAUAACUCCAGCUUCAGAAUAAAAACAUAUAACACUAUAACAAAUAUAGUUAAUAGAUUGUUUUAUGCUAAAUAACAUAAAUAUACUUUACCUAUUAUAAAUCUAGUUUGAUGAUCCAUGCGGUGGUAACGAUGAAAUUCCCCAUACUACAGCAAAUUUGUUAUGAGGAAUUAACAAGCAUUUGCUAUUUAUUAAGAUGUUUGAGUCAGAGUUAAUAGAAAAAUAGAGGAGUUAGAAUCUGAAUCAAAGGUUUGGUGUACUAACUCUACAGUUCUGCGACUACUAAAAUAUUUGACAAUGUCACAUACUGUCCUCACUUUUACAGGUUAACUUCCAUAUACCUUGGGUGUUGCUUUUAAUAAAAGCAAUUAUACUGUACUUCCAAAUCCUGUAUAGAGUAGUCAGUUAGUAACAGUUAAAUUUCAAAAAGCAGCUGAACUUUCCUCUUUUGUAAAGAAACUAAAUUACUUAGCUUUUUCAAAAAAGCUUCUGCAUGCUACCACCAUUGGGUUGUGAUAUGAAACAGCCUUUUACUACAUGGACUUCAUUGUUCUUUCAACACUGACAAUGGAUUAGAAGCAGUAGAACUUAUUUGUUCAUUUAUUUAUUACUUAUUAAAAUAAUUUAUCUCACCCUCUUUUUAAAAAUCUUAGAGAAGUCUGCAAUAAAAUCCACAUGAUAGUUGUUUGCAAUGUAAACAAUAAACCUAUUUUUAAAGAUACAUUAAGUGAUUUAACAAGCUAAAAUAAGGCAGAUUAAAACUGGUUCAAAAUAGUUUUAAACAGUACUGUUCCCUUAUUGAGGCGGCGGCCACUAGGGGCUCUAUACAGAGAAGGAUAGUCCAUUUUACGGGAGAGGGGGAUGUUUUCCUGUUAUUCCCCACAACCAUCAUGGAAACAACACUUGUUUAUGAAAUGGGAAAGGGGGAGGGGGAAUAACCAGCCAAAAUGGGGGAAAUGGUUUUCCUCCUUCUACUCCCCCCCCCCCCGAAAAGUGGAUUAUCCUUCUCUAACUAGGCCCCUUUUGGAGUCUGCCUGGAUAAUGAAACAGUACCUUUAAAACAAGUGAAAAUCAUACACAUAUUUGGAGUUGUAUAAAAUCAGUGAGGCCUCAAUGGCUUCACAGUAAACAACUGUGGCUUUAUUUGGUGCCAAAAUGGAAACCAUGUUGGGACCAAUCAGGCCUCUAAGGGAGAGAGGUAAAUUUACUAUACUUGGGGUGCCAGUUUAUUAACUAAAGUCAGCUCUCCUCAAAUGCGGGUUUACCAUUAUGGAUCUGAUUAUUUGUAGAUUUGAUUAAAAUCUUUAAAAAUCUCUAGGUCUGCUGGAAGUCAACUAUAUGUCUUCCUAGAGAACUCAGAAUCCUAGAAAAAACACCCCUCUAGGAAUCUCCAGAUCCAACAGUGUAGUUCUGUGGUCAAUUUCAAGUGGUAGUUGACCCUAGAAUCAUGCUGGAGGACCUUGAAAUUCCUGGAGAGGUAUUCUCUCAGUAAAAAGAUGUGUUUUUUUUAAAAUUCCAUGCUGAAUAUAUCAUGCUGAAAAAAGAAUGAAACAGCUGCAAAAUACAAGGGACAGUUCCCAAACUGCACUUUAAAAAUAUCUUGUUCUUACUUGGAAGUAAAAUGGAUGUAUUAGUGGUUCAACCCUUCCAACCCUUCCAACUUCCAAUGAUCCAUUCAGAACUCAAUCAACAAACUUUUUGUUUCUUUUUCAUAGACAGACAAUUUACAAGAAGGGAAUGCAAUGCCUCUAAAAAAAACAAAAAUUCAAGCUUCUUAAAGACUUGCUCCUAAACAACAGUGUUAAAAUCAAAAUUUUCUUCUCUGUAAAACUUCAUGCUCUGCCCAGUGUGUUUUAUGUCUGCAUUAAUCUACUCUUUUUAAGAUCUCUAAACAGAGACAGAAGAAGAGAGAAACUGAUUUGGAUCCUAACCACAUUGUGAUUUGUCUGUCAGUUCACUGGAUUCAGAAUCUUCCAUCACAAUUAGCACUUCAGUAUCCAAAUUUCCUUCUCCUUGAAUGCCCACAAGGUUUUGCAGGGAUGCCUUUUCAAUGUGAAGACCUGGAACAAGAGGAUGAAUUCAAUAGCAACCCAAAUUGGUGAAUGAAUGGUAUUCCCAGGCUAUUGUGCUGGUUAGUCGCAUGUGGGGAGGUAAUAACAGGGUAUUAUAGUCUUUCUUAAUGUCUCAUCUACAUAUCAGUCUCAUGGGACCUGAAAUCUUUUCAACCAAAGCUUUCCAAAUAAGUGCUAAGAGGUAUAGAUUUCCCAGGACUGCCAGUCUGAACAUUGGUCUUCUGAAACAUGAAAAAUCACAUUUACAUCCACUCUCUUUCUUUCUCUUCCCAGGCCCUGACAUUCCUGUGAUAUCUUGGGACAGCAACAAAUACUACCAAUAACUUUAAAUAUUAUUACACAAUUAAAAACAUGAAAUGUACUUCUUCCUUUUAGCAUAAAUCUUUUCAUAAAAUAACAUGGAUUUUAGAUAUAGACAAACUCUCAGAUGUGUUUCAGGCUAUCUCAGCAAUUAUUUUCUAUGGGAAAAUUGGGAAGUAUUUGGGUAGUACUGUGGUUUUAGCUAUGAAUAGGUUUUUAAUUGGUUUUAAGGGUUUUAACUGGUUUUUAAAAUAUUGUUUAUAUUUAAUUACAUUUUAAUGUUUGUAUUUUUUAGAUUUUAAUUGUAUUGUACUUGGUUUUGUUGUGAGACGCUUUGAGUCUCUUUUUUAGAGAGAAAAAGCGGGAUAAUAAUAACAGCAACUACUACUACUACUACUAUUCGGACCCAGUCUGAAUGCUUGGAAAAAUGACAUCUUUCUCUCCUCCAUUGUCUUCUGUGUUCCCAGGAGAGUCUGCUUCUAUUUGUCCAAUAGAGGUUGCCAUUCCUCUCCCGCAAACACAGUGAAUAUACCACAUCAAAGUGGAGUGUGGAUUCCAUGGGGCAUUGUGUUCAAAACAACAAAGGAAUGCCCUAUAAGAGCCCCAGAGAGAAGCAGUAAAGCUUUUUUGUCUCUGUAAACAUAUGGCAUACAAUCCUAUUGUUAGUCCUGACUAAAGUAGACCUAUGGAAUAAAUAAAAAUUACUUAUGUGCUGAUUCAGCAAUUGAUUCAAUGGACUUACUCUACUAAGAGUAACCAAUAGGAUUUUGGCCUUUGUUUCUGUAAACAUAAACUAUGGACAUUCUUUUUCCCAACCUUCCUGAAAUAGAUAACUCCAGUGUUUUUCCUAUGAUUGAAAGGUUAGGACUGUAUGUAUUCAUGCAUGUGUGUAUGAACGAUUGAGUGCUUUAACUGAAAUCUUGUUCAACUAGCCAUGAUACUUUGCUGUCAAUGAUGAAAUGGAGACGGUGUGUAUGUGUAUGUGUGGCACCAAGAGCCUAAAUAAAAUGUGAGUGAUGAGAAA